UACAGAGGUGGCAAGCGUUGUUCGGAAUUACUGGGCGUAAAGGGCGCGUAGGCGGCCUCGCAAGUCCCGUGUGAAAUCCCUCGGCUCAACUGAGGAAUGGCACGGGAAACUGCGGGGCUUGAGUUCGGGAGAGGGAAGCGGAAUUCCCAGUGUAGCGGUGAAAUGCGUAGAUAUUGGGAGGAACACCAGUGGCGAAGGCGGCUCACUGGACCGUACCUGACGCUGAGGCGCGAAGGCUAGGGGAGCGAACGGG
rnacentral:rRNA from 1 species